GGGGUUGUGGCUCAGUGGUUGAGUGCUCACCUAGCAUGUGUAGGCACUGGGUUCGAUCCUCAGCACCACA
rnacentral:tRNA from 1 species